AGGCACUGGCGGCAGCUGGCGGGGCCCCUGAUCCUCACGGACUUCCUCCUCCCUCCGCUGUCUCCCCGGCCUCCCUGGGCUUUCCAGGAGAGCCGUCCACGCCUGCUGUGGGAGGAAGACGCUUUCCUGAGGCAGGGGCCAGGCAGCUUCUGUUGGCGCCUGGAACAGCUUCCGCUCAUCGCUUCUGGCGGCACACACUGCGGAGGUGAGACUGCAAAUGCCGCCCGCCCCACGUGGUGCAGGCUGAGUGCUCUGGUGUUUGUCCAAGCUGUUCCAAGCCCAGGAGGUCGGACUCUCACCGUCGUCUUGGUGAUGGCAACGCUGUGUCCUGCCCCACCUCGUGGCUGCCCCCACCUGUACCGGUGAGACCUGAGGGUACGGGUGGGGUGGAUCCUGCCAUUCCCAAGGGCUAAGUCCUGAGACCCUUUUGAAACCCCGUUUGAAAAGGUGACAAUAGCGUAUGGCUUCCCGCACCAAGUGCACACAGUACACUAGCGACAGGCACAAAGGCAACAUGAAACGGGCUGCUCUGUGCUCGGGUGUCGCAGAAGCACGGGCCAGAGAGCCGGUGGCUGCCCAGGACCAAAGGGACCCACAUCGACCUGCUGGGCACUGGGGCCUAGAGAGUGACCAGAGCGUGAUUAGAAGAGGCCGGAUCACAGGGAGCCCCAGUCCACUGAACCACAUCCAGAAGGUAGAAAGGUUGUUUCUCUCCCCUGGAUGCCUGUGGGGGUGGGGACGGCAGAGCCUCGGACACUGCCCGGGGAUCACUCUCAGGCUACUUUUCCCACCCUGCCAAGCUGCUCGAGACGUCAAAGGAGACCAGGCCGGUCAGCACACAGGCUUCUGGUAAGUGCCGCCCUCCGGUCUGGGAGCUCAGCUCUCCCCUUCUGACUCACCGCUCGGCGCUGACUCAUCGUGACGGCGAGUGGGGCUCCAGCUCCGCGGCAUUUCAUAGACAGCGCGGUCACAUUCCUUUCCAACAGUCGCUCUGGCCUCGAUGUCUAAGGCUCCGUGGGCAGCCGGCCUGUGGAUGAGGCGGCGGAAACCACAUCCUCUUCAUCAUCCUCUCACGAGGAAGGACACUGACAGCUUCGGAGAAGGCUGCCCAGUGUCUGCGGGUGCCCUUGGGAGAUGGCCUUGGGACACGGUGCCUGUGCCUGUGUGUGUACACCACGUGUGAACGCCAACUGGGAACACGGCCCCUUCGUAGGCAAACCCAGGCCUCCUGGAAGUCACAAGUUGAUAGCUGUACUCGCCCCUUUUGGAAGACGCACGCCCAAGGCACCCGUGUGUGCACACGUAUCCGUGUGUGGACCUCUGUCCACACGUGUGUGUUUUGAAAAGCCUUUCUCACCACAUGUUAGGAUCACAAGUGUUCAAAAUCUAGGCACACUUUUCAGAAGUUAUUUCUGGAAAAAAUGUUGAAUCUCAUAACAGCAAUAAAAGGAAAAUACCGCCUCAGCCAACAUAAAUGUCUCCUUGGAACAUGCCUGAAAAGCGGCGGAGUAUUUGUGUAAGUUUCAAUUCCAGCGUCAGAGCCUGCAGCUUGGCCGAGGCCGGGUUCUGCACAGGAGGGUGCACGGUCCCUUUCCGAAAGCCCCUCACCGGACUUCUGGGAACUCCCAACCCAUCCCGGGAACCCCACCUGCCGGCCCCGGAUCCGGAUGGGCUCCUGAUGUAUCCCACAGAGGGGAUGCCAACGUCAGACACCAGCAGGCUGGGGAGGAGCGGCUGUGAGGUGCAGCCGGCGGGUGGGCGGCCAGCCUCCAGGACAGACCUCGGAGGAGGCUGGGGGCUGCCUGCUGCCCUCGGGGCCCUGUGGUCCCACCACACCCGUGCCUGUCCCAGUGAUCCUCAUGUCACCGGCCCAGUGAGAGGCUGCUGCUACCAACCCCGCCAGCCUGCAGGCCGCUGAGUGCUGGGCUGCUCCUCCUCAGAGGAUGAGCGUGGGAAUAACCCAGUGGGGCGAGGAUGCUGACGGCGCCAUGGAUGUCCACUGAGGGCCCGAGAUGGGCCAGGCCGAGCUCUGUGCUUUGGAGUCAGAUCUCAUUUAAACCCAGCAGCACAUCCCAUUUCACACGUGGGAAGGUGGGGGAGUCAGGAUCAGAGAGCAGGGUGUCGCAUGGGGGAGCAGCCGGGCUGCGAUGUGAACCCUACAGUCUGCCCAUGAGCCGCACUCCUGGGCUGGACACUCCAGAGCCUUCUCAAGCAGCUUUCUUGGGGCUCCCUGAGCACCUGGCUGGAUGCUGCUGGUCUGGAACUCUGGACGGGGGCCCCGGGAGCUGACCUGCAAAGCUGUAGAGCGACUGUGAGGCACUGGCAGCUUUGCAGCCCCUCUGGACCCAGGGUGGGGUGGGCUGAGCAUCUGGCCUUCUGGGUCUAUCUGGGAGGCAGGGCUGUCUCAGAUCUGGGGCCUUCUGAGAAAGAUGUCGAACCCAAGCUUCCUUGGGGAAGGAGGCAGAUGGACCCCAGAUCACUCUCCUGGGUGUGAAAUCAGCUUUGGGGGUGCCUUCGGGGUCGGGCAGAACUGGGCUCACCCAGCUCUCGCCUUUUCUGGCUGUGUCACUUGGGUGAGCUCCUGAGCCUCUCUGUGCCUCGGUUUCCCUGUUGAUUAGGUCAGGCCAAGGAUUAAAUGAUGGCAAAGUCGUACCACGCUGGCUGGUUUUGGGCCUGUGGGGAUUCUUCAUCAUUUCUUCUCUUUCUCCUACUGCAGCUCCAGGCUACCCUGAGAUUUGCCUGCUGGGUCUGGGCUUCAUGGCGGGGCCAGAUUGGUGCCUCGGAGCAGAGGGCACAGGACAGAGCGGGCACCAAUGCACGGGCAGGUUUCCAGGCACUUUGGGAAGAAAUAAGAUCCCACCCAAGAACCUCUCCCCAACUCUGGCCUUGGCUCGUCCUGGUUGUUUCCAAAAGUGAAAGAAGGCAAAAGAGUGAGCCGAGGCCCACCGGGAACAACAACAAAGACCCGGCCUCGGAGUGGCGGCAGCGCCGCGGCCACUGCAGGAGAGCUCUGGUUUCUAUUAGUGGGAAGCGACGGCUCCGUCUCAGGACAGAGCUUGGGCCAUCAGCCCUCGGCGGGUUAACCCUUCCCCACCUCACUGCUCUCACAGGCAACAGGCACCCCUGAAGCUGGGAAGUCCUGGGGCCGGGUUCAGCUGAGGACUCCCUGCAUCCUGCCACCACCACCAACCAUGCUGGCGCUCACACACACACACACAUACGCACGCACACACGCACACACAUGCCUACACACACCCACACGUCUCACAGACACACACGCACACUCACAUGCAUGCACACGUGCCCACACAUGCCCACAUGUCUCACACACACGCAUGCCCACACAUGCACACACACUUAUAUGUGCACACAUAUGCACAAUCCACACCAGCACACACAUGCACAUACACAUACACACACACAGACAUGCAUGCACAUACACACCCAUACAUGCAAACACAUAUUCCUACACAGGGACACUCCACGCCAGGGCCAUGUCAUCUGAGGCCAAAUGAAGAGUUGGCAGAGGAGGAAGGCCUGGAGAGGUAGCGUGGAGGCCAGAGGAGGCCCUGGUUGAGACGUGCUUGCUGGUUUGGCAGGUGGAGGGACUUGGGGACCAAGUAACCCGGCUCGGUCAAACAUUCUCUCCCCAGGCACGGAUGCUGUGUCCCUGGGGAGCCCAACCUCCCCAAGUGGAGCUUGGCUGAGACCCCUCAGCAGCUCCGAGGGCCCCUGUGGGUUGUGAUGCCAGAAACAGGGCCAGAGCUCAGAGGAGGCACAGGGACUACGGUUUCCGUUGAAAGACGGCUCAGGGUCACCGGGCUCAGCAGAGGGAGGGCGCUUCAGGGGCGGUGACCGGGUCGCUUUAGGAAGAUGGGUGGGGGGCACUCGACUCCCAAGGCUGAGGGAGGGGAAAGGUGUGUGCACACUGCAGGCAUCCGGCCUUUGGGCCCCAGAGUGUGCCGGGCAGGUGUCAUCUCCAUUAACAGCUGCAGCCGCUGUGGAGGUGGCUGCCACCAUGAUACCCAUCGUACAGGUGAGGAGGUGGAGGUAGGAAGGGCGUGGCCUGUCUCAACCUGACAGGGAUGUGUGUAUGUGGCCACAUGUUGACUUUUUGUUUUAAAAUUUGGAUUCUACUGGGGAAAAAGAUUACAAUAAAGUGUCUGUGCUGCACCCAGGAAGGCAUGCCCACUGGGUAAGGCUCGGCACCAAGCGGCCUCUCACUGUGGGUCAGGCUCGCAUGGGGCGGGUGUGCCUGGCCCCUGUGUGAACCUGGAGCUGGCCAUGGGGAGAGGCUGCUCUGGGGCUUUUCAGAGAAUCCGUGGUUGAUUCCCUCAAGGACUCCCUCAAGGGGGCCACGCUCCUCCUCCCUGGGUCCCCUCCCUGGCCCCCACCCUUCCCUUUCUCAGGUCCUCCCUCUGACAGUGGCUGUAGCCCUCUGCUCCUAGCCCAGGGCAGCCCUGGCCUCUGGAGUCACAGUCAUGUGUUCAAGUCUCGGCCCCUUUCCCAAGGUGAGCUGGUCCUGCAGGGAUGCGGGAAGUGUCAGAAUAUGAAAACAACCAGGACAAGGACAGCUCAGCUUACCCCGCUCCAGCACCUUCUCCAGGUCAAGCACUUGGCCAGCCCUGUAGCAGCCUCCUCAUUCCAUCUCUCUGGUGUUUUACAGAUGAGAAAUGAGCACAGAGAGGUUAGGAGCAUUGUCCAGUGCCACAGAGCUGGCAUGUGCUUGUCUGGGCUGAGAACUCUAUGAAGCCUUGGAAAUGCUCCCCACAUAUGGAGCAGUGUGUUCAGGCCCCAUGGCCUGACCGGGAGCAGGAGGGAAGGACAGGCUCAGGUCUCGCAUCCCGGGAAGAAUUUCUCCUCAGUGCACCAGGGAAUAUCGCCUGACGACGGAAUCAGGUUUCUUUCCCCAUGACCCCUCCACCAUUAGUGUUCCCAGAAAGCCAGGGGCUGCUGUGCCCAGAGGAGGUGCACCCUGGGAGCCCUGCCUGCAGGACGGGAAGCAGAGCCCCCUCAGAACAGAAACUAGGAACAGAGGAGGGACAAGGGAGGGAGGGCAGAAGGUCCGGUGCCCUCAGUUUCUAUCCAUCCUUGGGUCGGAAACCUGGGAUGGAAUGAGUGAGGAGCUGGGUCCACAGGGACAGGAACUGGGGGAUACCAGGGGCUAGGGCUGCUCAUCCUUUCCCAAGGAGGAGCCAGGGAAAAAUUAAGCUCAUAGGGAAUGUCGGGUUCACCGGGCCUGGCGGACUCCAGAUCCCAGAGGCAGGGCACCCACACAUCUCUCACCGGCACGCACCAGGGCCCCGAUAGCCGGGCACCAUCAUGGCGAAUUACAUUACAUUGCAUUACCCGGGGACCACUAUCAUGACCACGUUGGGAGAGGAAACUGAGGCACUAAGCUGCCAAAGUCACGCAGCCCACAACACUGGAAGGCAAAGCAGCCGUCUGGACCCCAGAACUGGAGCUGUCCCCUCACUGGGCGAAACCCAGAACCCAGUGUUUGCUUCUUUCUCAGAGUAGCAAGAAGACAUGGCAGAGCUGCCCUCAGGCUGGAGGCUUGCAAGCCGGAGGCGCACCACUGUCUAAGCAAACCAGGCACGAGGAAACGCAUUCGCAAGCCUGAGAAGAUGAGUGGCCAUCACUGGCAUCACCGAAAUGGCCUCCUCAACCGGACGGGAAGAAUCCCUCCCCCAGCUGACUCCCCGAGAUGCUCCAUGCCCCACGUUCCUGACCUCCUAGGGGAAGGAGCAGGAGGAACCCAAGGCCAUCAGAGGGGCCUGGACUGUGGGUGCUGCCAAGUCUGUAGGUGACCCGGUGACCAUCCCGGUUUGCAGGGGACCAAGAUUCUUUCUGGGAUGUGGUGCUUUCAGUGGCAACAAGAAGAGCCCCCUCGGCAGCCCUGGCAAUCCAGGACAGUGGGUCGCCCCCGCACGGCCUGACGCUGUGGCGUGGAGUCUCCAGCGGGGCAGCACUGGGUUGGAGGAGGGAGGAUGCUGCCAGCAUCACGGGGAGGUCACAUGCCAGACACUGGUGUCUGAUUUCCCCUUGAGAGAGGUUUCAUCACUGCCCCGUCCUUGGAAAGGGUCACCCAGUCAGACUACAGAGCCAGGACCAUGAUCCAAAGCUGAGCAGUGCCCACCAAAGACAGUGUUCCCAGUGCUCAGGAGCCCUUGGGCCUUUAUAAGGUGUCUACCGUGGGACUAAAAAAACACCUGUCCCCAGGUGACAGCAUGCUGCCUUUGAAACACAGCUCUGUGAGAACACACCUGGCAAAGGCAGUCUUGGGGGCCACGCGGCAGGGACCCCUUUCCUUUACCAACUCUCACAGGCUGAGCCGCUCUUGCUGUGAAUGUACGUGGCCUUGGUAUGUUCUCCAGCAAGAUUAUAAGUGGAGGAUGGAGUCAGCUGGGAAGCGAGGCUCAGAUCAAGGAGGGCUACUACCAGGAUCCCUGCAGAAACAGGGACACAGGGAGAGAUGGCUGUAAAAUCCUUGAGCUUUAAGGGGUAAGCUCAUGGAGCCCUGAAAAAUAUGACUGCAUUGCAAAUGCCAACUUGUAGACACAAAUAUCGUGGAAGCAGGCCACGUUCAGCCUUGCACACUGUGCGCUCUUCCAUGACUGAGAACGUUAGUCACCUGCACCCUGACCAACCUCUCAUCCCUGAAGCCUGCUGGGAGGUGUCUGGGGACAGGAACGAAAAUUUACAAUGUUCUUUGGUUGUUUAAUUUUGAAUUUUCUCCCUCAUUAUUAUUGAAACUGAAACAUCUAAGAGGACACCCAGAUUUAUCUGAAACCGGAAGAUGACACGUAUGAAGGAUCAAGCAUUCAUCACAAACACAGGCAGGCGAAGGAGACCAAAACACAGCUAGGACCAUGCCAAGCGUCGGUGAUGAUGUGGAGAAAUGGGGACCUGCCAGACACUGCUGGUGGGGAGGUGACAUGGUGCAGCCACUAUGGAAAAUAGUCCAGCAGUUCCUCGAAAUGGAAAGCAGGAGUCCCAUGACCCAGCAGUUCCAUUUUCAAGGAAGUCCCCAAGAGAAAUAGAAACUUACGUCUUCACAAAAGCUUGAAAAUACACAUUCAUAGCAGCAUGAUUCAUAACAUCAAAAAGCAGAAACAGCCCAAAUGCCCAUCAGUGGAUGGAUGGAUAAGCACAAUGUGGCCCCUCCAUACGACACAAUAUUACUCAGCCAUAAGAACGAGUGAGGUAGCGGCACAGGCCACAAAGUGGGCGAACCUGGGAACCACGGGACUGAGUGGAAGGAGCCAGUCACAAAAGGUCAUGGGCUGUCUGAAUCCAUUCAUUUGAAUUUCCAGACUAGGCAAAUCCACAGAGACAGAAAGUGGGUUGGUGGUUGCAGUGGCUGGGGGCAGGGGGACAUGGGGAGAGUGCGGAGUGAGUACUAAUAGGUGUGUGGUUUCUUUUUUCAGUGAUAAAAAUGUACUAAAAUUUAUUGUGAUGGUUGCACAAGUCUGUGGCUGAAAACCACUGAAUUGUACGUUUUAAUGGGGUGCAUUGUUUGCGUGUGAAUCACAUCUCAAUAAAGCUGUUUUUAAAAUGCAAUUAUUGCACAAUGCAAA
rnacentral:lncRNA from 1 species